UUUCCUAGUCAGACUCAGGAGGGCCCGGGGGGGAGGCCCUUCCUCCUCUCUGACGAUGUCUGCCGACCGCUCUGGGCCUUGGUGAGGUCCCCUGUCAAAGACCCUCUCAAGUCGGCUUCUGGCUGUCAAAAUGGGAAAAGGCAGGAACUGCUCGUGUCUAGAUUUCUCUAGUGAACCUAAUAUUGCUCAGUCUCCCAGAAGACUGUAAAGAAUUGUACAAGCCCAACCCCAUAGAGAUGGAGCCUUGAAGGGUACCAUGAAGGGCCAGUGGGGGUGGGGCAGAAAGAACCCCCCCCUAGAAUUCCACCUUAACAAGAACCACUUUGGGUCCCUGGCACUGAGCUCCCCAAAGGCUACUGGAACCAGUGACCUCCUUGGGACAGGGCCAAGCAGUCAAGGAGGAGGGCCAGGAGGGAGAUCUUCUGGGGUAGCCCAGGGGGUCCUGACCAUGCACAGUGAGCUAAAGGGGUGACGGACUGUGGUCAGACCUCUCUGAGUGAGGUUCUCUGGGGUGACAAGAGCUUUCCAUGUGCCCCGCACCCAUGAGCUUGAUCCUACCCGUGAGAAAGGGACAGAGCUGACAGCAGGGGCUCCCGGGGCUGGCGGACUGGGCCCAGCCCCUCUGCUCGGGUGUCACGGCUUCCAUCAUGACCCUCCAUUGGAGCGGGGCUCCCGCAGGUAAUCUGGAUCAAUUAUGACAAACACAGGAGUAGUAUUGCCUACAAUGAUACGCUCCCCCUGUUGAAGGCAGAGCUUUCUGAACUGUUCCCAUGAAGUCAUUAGAACAGAAAGGAGCUUCUCAAUGUUUGGAUGAUUUGCCAAGGGACACAUCACUAACAAACAGCAGGAGAAGGGAACAAAAGAGCCAUUAUACAGUACCAAGGAGCACAAGGUCAAAAAGGACCAAACUAAUCCAGUGAGAGAAGAGGAUUGUGGAAGAAACUGCUAAUGGAAAAGGUCUUUGCCCUCUGAACUCAGCUGAGUGUGGAGCAAAGACCAGGAGCUCUAUAUCCCAACCUGUGGAAUACCUUGCCUCCAUUCCCUUCACCUGGAGAAGAAAAAGGUUCCCGUAUGUGUGAGAGCAUUCAUUAAAGGAAGAACAAGGCAAAGUAAGCUGCUGAAA